ensembl:misc_RNA Metazoa_SRP Metazoan signal recognition particle RNA
GCCGGGCGUGGUGGCUCACGCCUGUAAUCCAAGCACUUUGGAGGCCAAGGCAGGUGGAUCACCUGAGGUCGGGAGUUCAAGACCAGCCUGACCAACAUGGUGAAACCUCGUCUUAA